GAUAAACGCUGGCGGCGUGCCUAACACAUGCAAGUCGAACGAUCCCGCAAGGGAGAGUGGCGGAAGGGUGAGUAACACGUGGGAAUCUACCUCCUCGCAGGGAACAACCUCUCGAAAGAGAGGCUAAUACCCAAAAGGGUCAGAAAUGAUCAGAGUCGAAAGGCGUGAGGAGAGGAGCCCGCGGCCCAUCAGCUAGUUGGUGAGGUAAUGGCCUACCAAGGCGACGAUCGGUAGCUGGUCUGAGAGGACGAUCAGCCACACUGGGACUGAGACACGGCCCAGACUCCUACGGGAGGCAGCAGUGGGGAAUAUUGGGCAAUGGGCGCAAGCCUGACCCAGCCAUGCCGCGUGAGUGACGAAGGCCUUAGGGUUGUAAAGCUCUUUCGGCGGGGACGAUGAUGACGGUACCCGCAGAAGAAGCCCCGGCUAACUUCGUGCCAGCAGCCGCGGUAAUGUGACGCCUCU
rnacentral:rRNA from 1 species